rnacentral:rRNA from 1 species
GUGGGGAAUCUUGCGCAAUGGGCGAAAGCCUGACGCAGCCAUGCCGCGUGAAUGAUGAAGGUCUUAGGAUUGUAAAAUUCUUUCACCGGGGACGAUAAUGACGGUACCCGGAGAAGAAGCUCCGGCUAACUUCGUGCCAGCAGCCGCGGUAAUACGAAGGGGGCUAGCGUUGCUCGGAAUUACUGGGCGUAAAGGGCGCGUAGGCGGACAGCUUAGUCAGAGGUGAAAGCCCAGGGCUCAACCUUGGAAUUGCCUUUGAUACUGGCUGUCUUGAGUGUGGGAGAGGUGAGUGGAACUCCGAGUGUAGAGGUGAAAUUCGUAGAUAUUCGGAAGAACACCAGUGGCGAAGGCGACUCACUGGCCCAAUACUGACGCUGAGGCGCGAAAGCGUGGGGAGCAAACAGGAUUAGAAACCUGUGUAGUCC